UUACGGCUUAGGGAUAGAAGCGAAAAUCCUUUGUGAGGAACGAGCAAAGAUUGUAGCGCAUAGCCCGACCCGUA
rnacentral:sRNA from 1 species